rnacentral:rRNA from 1 species
UCCGUAGGGGAUACCUGCGGAGGGAUCAUUAAAGAGUUAUUACAACUCCCAAACCCAUGUGAACCUUACCAUUCGUUGCCUCGGCAGGUCGCAGCCUACCCUGUGAGACCCUACCCUGUAGGGCCUUACCUGGCGGUUGCGGGCAAUCCUGCCGGCGGUCUACCAAACUCUGUUUACUAUGUUAUUCUGAAUACUAUAACUAAAUAAGUUAAAACUUUCAACAACGGAUCUCUUGGUUCUGGCAUCGAUGAAGAACGCAGCGAAAUGCGAUAAGUAAUGUGAAUUGCAGAAUUCAGUGAAUCAUCGAAUCUUUGAACGCACAUUGCGCCCAUUAGUAUUCUAGUGGGCAUGCCUGUUCGAGCGUCAUUUCAACCCUUAAGCCUCUGUUGCUUAGUGUUGGGAGCCUACAGCCCUCUGUAGCUCCUCAAAGUUAGUGGCGGAGUCGGUUUCACACUCUAGACGUAGUAAAUUUUUUAUCUCGCCUAUAGAUGAGCCGGUCCCCUGCCGUAAAACCCCCUAAUUCUUAAAGGUUGACCUCGGAUCAGGUAGGAAUACCCCGCUGAACUUAAGCAUAUCAAUAAGCCGGAGGA